CUAGGGCUGCUCCCGCGGCAUACGGAGGUUCCCAGGCUAGGGGUUGAAUCGGAGCUGCAACCGCCGGCCUACGCCAGAGCCACAGCAAUGCAGGAUCCGAGCCACGUCUGUGACCUACACCAGAGCUCACGGCAAUGCCGGAUCCUUAACCCACUGAGCAAGGCCAGAGAUCAAACCUGCAACCUCAUGGUUCCUAGUCAGAUUCAUUAACCACUGCGCCACGACGGGAACUCCCAGAUUGAUCUCUUUACCUGAGAAACCUCUAUGUGUUAUUUUCAAGUCCAAAACAAAGCAGGAAUUGCAGAGGCAAAAGAGAAAGUUAUAAAACUAAGGAUGUAAACCUGCAAGUUAAGGCAACACACACCAGUAGAGAAAUUCACUUGAAUAGUUCUGUGUUGGGGGAAAAACUCAGGGCAUUGUAAAUUCUGGAAGCGGGGAGCUCCUGGUGAUUCAUCUAAUUUAGCAUUAAAGACUGGCCCUCAGGGUAGGACAAACAUAGGCCACAGGUCUGAACACACUUGGCUAAGGCGAGUCCUGCUGUUAUUGGUGGAGAACAUCUCCAGUGAUGCCUACUAAGAACCUGAGACCCUGGGUCACGCAAAAUUCAUCCACCUCAAGUAUUUAGAGAAAAUUGUAAUGACACAGACCAUUUAGUCUGUUAUCACCUAGGCGAAUGGUACUGUACGUGGGAAUUUCCCACAAACCGGUUCUCCCUCUUUCCAAUGUGAUGGAUGAGAACAUGAAGUACAAGCAAAUUCUCAGGGGGGUCAGAGCUCCGCCGCCAUCUUGCUUUCAGUGCUGCUUUCACAGAUCCUAUUGUGCUUAUUCAAGUCACUCGUUAAGUCUCCUUGGAAAUAUAAUCACCUGAUGUAUGAAGCAACCAGAGAGAGGCUGUGCAACAGCACUUAAGACCUUGUUAACAACGUCCCUGACAACAGCUACAAUUAACCUAACACUAUAACGAACACUAAACUGCCCCUUCGUCAGGCCCUUAUGUAGACAAGUCUGGAGGGGAGAUUCCAUGGGUCACCUCAUCCCACGAUGGACAAGGAAUUCCUUGUCUUUGAAUGUGAUCUAGGAACCUCUUGACUUUCUCUGAAACAUGAAUCCAAAUGCCAUAGGACGAAUUAGCCAGCGCACAAAAGCUGCCUUGUUUGGUCGGUGAGUAACCUAAAAUGAGGCAGCUGCCCCAGGUCAUUGUGAGUGAGUAAAUGAACAAGGCUCUCGCCAUUGACCUUGACCAUCGGACAUCUCCUAGACACUUUCAUCUGGUAGGACUGCCAUUCCUAGGGACAUUAUCUAAAACAGAGUUCUGAUCAGGAGCCCUAUACCAAGGGAGAAGCCAGAGUGAUGCGAAGUGAUGGAGCAGCAUCUCUCCCUCCUCUGGAACAUCUCUUCUUGCAGGCAGGUCCUUUACUGAAAUCCCAAAAUGGGUACAUGUGGUACAUGGGUACAGCCAAGCCUCCCUAAGAAGGUAGACCCCUUCCCCUUGCCAAGGCCCAUGUGGAGUGGUGAUAUUACCUUGGUAGAAAUAUACGAAACCACGUGGGCCACCACCUGUUAUUUUGGUAAAUAUUUGAAGGUCACUGUUGUGGCUCAGAUUCAGUCCCUGGCAGGAACUGCCAUAUGCUGCAGGUGAGGUCAUGAAGAAAGGAUAAAAAAAAAAAAAGAAAGAAAGAAAAGAAAAUAGUGCAGUGAGUUCAAGAAGCACAAGGAUAUUUUCUUUGAUGUCUGAAAAAGAAGUACAAAGAGCUUUAUUAAUUAUUUCCUAUGAAAUAAUAAUUUACCAUCAGCAAAGGUACCGUUCGGAAAAAAUUCUAUUUAGUGUAGUUGUUCCCAAGAGUUGGUUCCUGGACAGUAACCAAAAAGAUGUCAUUCUUUCAGGUAAAGGUAUUAAUUGUAGACCAAGCAGAAACAAAUUAAUUGCCAUGAAUGCCUUAUCGUGGCCGCUAGUACCCUUUCCAGCACAGCACUUAACAGAAAGGGACGCCGUGACAUUCCAUGGGAAGAAUAACAAAUUCAAAUUGUUACCACUAUUGGUGAAUAAAAUAAGCUCCCACAAUAAUUCUGAAUUACUUAAAAUCUAGAGAAUGCCAGACAAAUCUUAUUAUUUUUAUUGUCUUUUCUUUUUAUAGCGUGAAAAGGAAAAUCUUUAUGUUUACUCACUGGCUACCCUGGGAAACGCAAAGAUAUUUUAUGUUUAAAAGCAAUCCUUAGAGUUGCAUGAUUCUAAAUUUGGGGGCUCUUUUUGGAGAAAGCAAUAUCAAAAAGAAUCAUCGGAAUAGGUUAGUCCCGAGAACAAAAGAAGUUCUUGGCUGCUUCAUUAAACCGAGCAACAAAAUAAUAGAGCGGGUUAAGGAUGCAGCAUUGCCACUGCAGCGGCUUGGGUCACUGCUGUGGUGAGGGUUUGAUCCCUGGCCCAGGAACUUCCACAUGCUGCAGGCAUGGCCAAAUAAAAUAAAAUAAAAUAACUUAGAAGCAUGAUGAGAGAGUAUAAACUAAAAACUGAAACUCUUAAGAAUUGAGUCUACGUCAAGCAAGAAUAUUUCCUCAUGUGGAAAGAAGAUAAAUAGUGCAAGGUUAUAAUUUCCCUUCAUAGGACCUCCUUUCUCUCUUAGUUAAGGUUUUUGCUUAUUGAAUCAUUGUGUUUAUAUAGUCAAACAUAUGUAAGUAUAUUAUAUAAUCUUUCACAUUAUUAAUCUUGUUAACAUAGGACAAUGUCUAUGUCACAUUGACUUUAUCACUGUGAUUCAAAUCUCAUAAAAGAGCAAACCAGUUCCUGUAUAGUCAAGAAUUAAAGUUAAAAUAACUUCAACUGUGGUGGGCUGACUGAUGACC
rnacentral:lncRNA from 1 species